rnacentral:lncRNA from 1 species
AGAAGUCACCUUCUUCAGGGCAGUUCCUCUCUGCCCAGCUGGGGUCAGCUGUCCUGUAAUACUCCCCAGAGAGGAAGCUGUCUUCUCUGACUGAGAUCCCAGCUGGGCAGUACUGACUGGUCUGACAGCUUGUGCUUGGAUGUACUUCACCAGAAAGAGGUCUUCUCAGGAGAAGCACCACAGCAUAGGAAUUCCUGGGACUAGCGCCUUGGACACACCCCACCCUUCUCUUGGGAGCAAGCCUCCAGGGAUCACUAAGGUUGCUUCUGUUGGAGUUUUAUCACAGCAGCCGGAAACAAAGCAGAACAAGAAGACUCUCCUUGCCUCUCUCUGCAGGCCCUCCUCUCCUGAGCCUGGAGAGUAUGCUUGGUAACUGCGCCUGGUCCUGUGGCUUGCAGGCUCUGGUUAGUUAACCCGGCUCCUCUGCCAGCUGGAUUCGCCCUCCGUGCUCAGAAAAUGUCUGCCGGGAAAGCAGGGCCACGGACAUGCUCUUUGCUCGCCAGAAAGCUCCUGACUCAGCGUUUUCCCUCUGGUACUAGCAGAGCCCUCCGGGACAAGAAGGGCACGAACGGGGCCAGUGCUGCGUGGUAGCCAGUGACCUGCAGAUCUGUUUGCUUCUGUUCCCUUUGGCCUGCAGACUGAUGAACAGGGUACAGCCUGCACUCUGAGCCCUUAAAGAGGAUGUUGAGUGGGCCUCGGGAACUAGUCACCCAAUGGAGAUCAAGCUGCCGUUCCCAUGGUGAUUCCACACUGAGCCCUGUGCCCUGGGAACUCACCUCCUCCCAUUCACUGUAACCUCCAUUAAGCAGAAACAAAAGAUUAAUACGGCAGAAGCCAUUUAAUGAACUCAGAGCUGGCAGCGGCUUUUUUCCAGAGCGGAUUCCUGGAACAGCAAUGCAGAGGCUUCCCCGCCUCUUCCAGGACAGCAAGGGCGUUCAGCUGUCUGAUCUCUCUGGGCUGUCAGACAUCCAUGCAGCAAAUGGGCCCAGGCAAUCUCGUGGGUGUGGGGAAGACCCCUUACCUCUUUGUCUUUAUUCAGGUCAUUCUCUCACCUCACCAGAAAGGGAGGAGAAGAGGGUCUCAGGGAACUCAGCCUAGUGGCUGGCAGCUUUGGAGCUAUUGCCUGAGUCAAGGUUCUGAGCCCAUAGCGAGUCCAUACUGAGAUGUGCUGGGAUGAAUAAACCGGAUGGGACUGAGAAAGAGGGUGGAGUAGUCUCUGAAAGAUGAAGGAAACAGGAGGACCCUCACCUAGACUUCACAAAACAUCAAGGAAAAGAACUGAAGUUAUCUUGAAAGACAUUAUAGAAACUGGGCAAAGAGAACUGAGUCUCAUGGAGAUUAUUCUGAUAUCCGUGAUGGUAACAUGUCAGCAUGAGAGACAUAAGUUGGACAAUGAUUCGGACCCAACCAGGAGUAAAGGGGACACUCCCCAAGAUUCAUAGCUAGGGGACCAGAGACAGAUAGACAUGAGUGGGUUGAGCUUGGGAGGUGGACUUGUGUGGAAGCAGAAGCAGAAGAGAAAGGGCUGUCUGUGUUCACUGAUGUGUAUUGUGCUGUGCAGCUGGGAAUUUUAGUGUGAUGUAGACACGAGUGCUGAGAAUUCCAGGAGAAGACAAUGAAUUUUCUCAAGCGGCCCGUACAGAAUUAUCCUUAAAGCCAAGAGGGGCUGGGGUUUCUGAGAAGAAACUGCUCUCAAGAAGUAUAGUAUAGACUACAUG